GCGACUUCAGCAACAGACUGGUACAGCCUAGGUGUAAGAAGGAACGCUUCCGCAGGUGGAAGCUGAAUUAGUGAGGAUGACUCCUGCUCCUGUCAUCUCUAAGCUCCUCACACAUCUUUACCUGCACAUGAGGAAAAUCACUCCUGUAGAAUGCAGAUGUUCAGAGGGAGAUGAUGCCACAUCUGGUCCAGCUGAUGGAAGGUCUUGAAGUUCUCUGACUGGCCUCGACUGAAGAUGGUCGUCUCACUGGAUUUAAGGCUUCACUUCACUCGUGGGCUUCCGUAGCGCGCCCCGCGCAUUGCACAGUAAGAGACGACAUGGCUGCCCCCGCGAGUAGAAAACAACUCUGUUCAAAGAAAGGAAAUUGGAAUUCUGUCAUUUGGAACUGGUUCGGAUUUGAUCCAAGCGACGAUCAACAGACCAAGCUGUGCUGCAAAACUUGUUUUAAGACUGUAGCAACUGGAAGUAGCAGCAAGACAAACUUGUUUCAGCACUUAAAAAACAAGCACCCAGAUGAGUGGGAGAAGAGCAAGCGGCUUCGACACGAAGACGGCACCCCGAGCACAGCUCCGCCAAAACAGACAACACUUGUUGAGAGAUUCGCCAACUGUGUACCGUAUGACAAGAGUGGAGCCCGCUUUAAGGCAAUUACAGAGGCCAUCACUUUGUACAUUGCCACAGACAUGCUUCCCAUUUAUUCCGUGGAAAAGCGAGGCUUCAAUCAGUUGCUGAAUGUUUUGGAUGCGAUAUACACCAUACCCAGUCGAAGAUAUUUCGCUGAUGUGGCGCUGCCUCAAUUGUAUAGUAGUACUCGUCAAAAGAUCCACAAAGAGUUGGAAGAGGUGGCUUUAAGCAUUUUUUUGUCUUGCACUUUUUUUGGUAAGUGUAGUAGUAGUGUUAUAAAUCAUAACAUUAUUUAAUUUCUUAAUCAUUGUAAAAUUUAAGCUAUUAAGUUCUCUUGCACUUUUUUUAAAACUGGGUUAUAACUUGAAUUUUGAAUGGCAAGGCCUUGAAUUGUUUGCAAUAAAACAAACUUUUGACAGAAUAUCUUUUUCUCAAUCACUUAUAAAUGCGUAGAAAAAAAUCGAAAUCGAAUCGAAAAUCGAAUUUUUUUCAAAAAAAUCGAAGAUUUUUUUUUUUUUUGGCAAAAUCGCCCAGCCCUACAAUGAAUUAAUUCCUAAAACACUCUAAAUGCUGGAGAGUGUUUGCGAUGCUGAAGCAGUGAUCAGUUUUUCUGUUUCUUCUCUGGAGAUGCACAAUGAGGGACGUCUGCAGCGACUGAGAAAGAGUCUCACCACAUCCUGACAUGAGGAAAAACACUUUAUUGAAAACUACAAUGAGAAAAACUAUCAGACAGCAGACGGCUGCAUUCAAGGUGAGCUCUGAACAUUUGAUCUGGAACAGGAAUUCAAUAACGGCAGCAUGAGCUUCAUUUCAGUCUGUAGCUGCUGAAUUCAUGGAUGAAUCAUCUGGCACUAGAGAGGAAGACCAUCAAACAUCCAUGUCAGCUGAUGGAGGUCCAAGAGUCUCACCGAACAAACAACCUACAGAGUGAAGACCUCGAACCUGAUUGGACAGCCUCCUAUUCAGCCACAUUUUAGACUGUUAGAUUGUUCCAGAUAAGACAAGUACAAGAUUCUUCAGAGCCGUUCUACCACGAGCCUGACAGGAAGAACUCCAAC
ensembl:lncRNA